rnacentral:rRNA from 1 species
CCGAACCGACUAAUGUUGAAAAAUUAGCGGAUGACCUGUGGCUGGGGGUGAAAGGCCAAUCAAACCGGGAGAUAGCUGGUUCUCCCCGAAAGCUAUUUAGGUAGCGCCUCGUGAAUUCAUCUCCGGGGGUAGAGCACUGUUUCGGCUAGGGGGCCAUCCCGGCUUACCAACCCGAUGCAAACUGCGAAUACCGGAGAAUGUUAUCACGGGAGACACACGGCGGGUGCUAACGUCCGUCGUGAAGAGGGAAACAACCCAGACCGCCAGCUAAGGUCCCAAAGUCAUGGUUAAGUGGGAAACGAUGUGGGAAGGCCCAGACAGCCAGGAUGUUGGCUUAGAAGCAGCCAUCAUUUAAAGAAAGCGUAAUAGCUCACUGGUCGAGUCGGCCUGCGCGGAAGAUGUAACGGGGCUAAACCAUGCACCGAAGCUGCGGCAGCGACACUGUGUGUUGUUGGGUAGGGGAGCGUUCUGUAAGCCUGUGAAGGUGUGUCGUGAGGCAUGCUGGAGGUAUCAG